UACGUAGGGUGCAAGCGUUAAUCGGAAUUACUGGGCGUAAAGCGUGCGCAGGCGGUUUUGUAAGUCUGAUGUGAAAUCCCCGGGCUCAACCUGGGAACUGCAUUUGUGACUGCAAGGCUAGAGUACGGCAGAGGGGGAUGGAAUUCCGCGUGUAGCAGUGAAAUGCGUAGAUAUGCGGAGGAACACCAAUGGCGAAGGCAAUCCCCUGGGCCUGUACUGACGCUCAUGCACGAAAGCGUGGGGAGCAAACAGG
rnacentral:rRNA from 1 species